rnacentral:misc_RNA from 1 species
UCUCCNUNGGUGAACCUGCGGAGGGAUCAUUACUGAGUGAGGGUCUCCGGGCCCGACCUCCAACCCUUUUGUGAACCACCUCGUUGCUUCGGGGGCGACCCUGCCGUUCGCGGCGUGGGGCCCCCGGAGCCCAUCAAACCCUGCGUAACUAAGUCGUCGGAGUUUAAACAAAUUAAACAAAACUUUCAACAACGGANCUCUUGGUUCGGGCAUCGAUNAANAACNCNNC